rnacentral:tRNA from 1 species
GGAGAGGUAAUCCGAAAGAUUCCGGGUAGCGGAGACGAUCUUGAAAAUCGUUUGUCUGAAAAGGUGUGUGAGUUCGAAUCUCACUCUCUCUG